rnacentral:rRNA from 1 species
CAGAAAAGUCCAGAAAAAGAAAUGCAAAAAACAACUUUG